GAUGAAGAACGUAGCGAAAUGCGAUAAGUAGUGUGAAUUGCAGAAUUCAGUGAAUCAUCGAAUCUUUGAACGCACAUUGCGCCCCUUGGUAUCCCGAGGGGCAUGCCUGUUCGAGCGUCAUUUCACCACUCAAGCCUGGCUUGGUGUUGGGCGACGUCCCCUUUGGGGACGCGCCUCGAAACGCUCGGCGGCGUGGCACCGGCUUUAAGCGUAGCAGAAUCUUUCGCUUUGGAAGUCGGGGCCCCGUCUGCCGGAAGACCUACACGCAAGGUUGACCUCGGAUCAGGCAGGGAUACCCGCUGAACUUAAGCAUAUCAAUAAGCGGAGGA
rnacentral:misc_RNA from 1 species